ensembl:lncRNA
GGAGAGAGUGGAGAAAGAAGUGGACCAAGACCCUCCAUCCCUACCUCUCUCCCAGCCAGGAGGGGCUGGGAGAGAGGUAGGGAUGGAGGGGCUGGGAGAGAGGAGGGAGAGAGGUAGGGAUGGAGGGGCUGGGAGAGAGGAGGGGCUGGGAGAGAGGAGGGAGAGAGGUAGGGAUGGAGGGGCCUGGAGAGAGGAGGGAGAGAGGUAGGGAUGGAGGGGCUGGGAGAGAGGUAGGGAUGGAGGGGCUGGGAGAGAGGAGGGAGAGAGGUAGGGAUGGAGGGAGACAGGUAGGGAUGGAGGGAGAGAGGUAGGGUUGGAGGGGCUCGGAGAGAGGAGGGAGAGGAGGGAGAGAGGUAGAGAUGGAGGGGCUAGGAGAGAGGAGGGAGAGAGUUAGGGAUGGAGGGAGAGGGGUAGGGAUGGAGGGGCCGGGAGAGAGGAGGGAGAGAGGUAGGGAU